rnacentral:rRNA from 1 species
UACGGAGGAUCCAAGCGUUAUCCGGAAUCAUUGGGUUUAAAGGGUCCGUAGGCGGUUUUGUAAGUCAGUGGUGAAAUCCGGCAGCUCAACUGUCGAACUGCCAUUGAUACUGCAGGACUUGAAUAAUUGUGAAGUAACUAGAAUAUGUAGUGUAGCGGUGAAAUGCUUAGAUAUUACAUGGAAUACCCAUUGCGAAGGCAGGUUACUAACAGUUCAUUGACGCUGAUGGACGAAAGCGUGGGGAGCGAACAGG